rnacentral:rRNA from 1 species
CCUACGGGUGGCAGCAGUGGGGAAUAUUGCACAAUGGGGGAAACCCUGAUGCAGCGACGCAGCGUGAGGGAAGACGCGCCUCGGCGCGUAAAGCUCUGUCAGCAGGGACGAUAAUGACGGUACCUGUAGAUGAAGGCACGGCUAACUACGUUCCAGCAGCCGCGGUAAUACGUAGGGGGCAAGCGUUAUCCGGAUUGACUGGGUGUAAAGGGAGCGUAGACGGGGGGGCAGGACUGUAGUGAAAGGCCGGGGCCCAACCCUGGAACCGCGCUGGAGACUGCCAGGCUGGAGUGCGGUAGAGGUAGGCGGAAUGCCUGGUGUAGCGGUGAAAUGCGUAGAUAUGAGGAGGAACACCAGCGGCGAAGGCGGCUUACUGGACCGUGACUGACGUUGAGGCUCGAAAGCGUGGGGAGCAAACAGGAUUAGAUACCCCAGUAGUC